rnacentral:rRNA from 1 species
GAUGAACGCUGGCGGCGUGCCUAAUACAUGCAAGUCGAGCGAACAGACGAGGAGCUUGCUCCUCUGACGUUAGCGGCGGACGGGUGAGUAACACGUGGAUAACCUACCUAUAAGACUGGGAUAACUUCGGGAAACCGGAGCUAAUACCAGAUAAUAUAUUGAACCGCAUGGUUCAAUAGUGAAAGACGGUUUUGCUGUCACUUAUAGAUGGAUCCGCGCCGCAUUAGCUAGUUGGUAAGGUAACGGCUUACCAAGGCAACGAUGCGUAGCCGACCUGAGAGGGUGAUCGGCCACACUGGAACUGAGACACGGUCCAGACUCCUACGGGAGGCAGCAGUAGGGAAUCUUCCGCAAUGGGCGAAAGCCUGACGGAGCAACGCCGCGUGAGUGAUGAAGGUCUUCGGAUCGUAAAACUCUGUUAUUAGGGAAGAACAAAUGUGUAAGUAACUAUGCACGCCUUGACGGUACCUAAUCAGAAAGCCACGGCUAACUACGUG